GUUUGCAAGUUUUCAACAAAAAACAUGCGAAGAGAACACAUGUAUUUCAAAACCAUAACAUGUAGAAGUGACAAUAUGCUCCAUAUUUAAAAUGUAUCUUGUGUUCAGCUACAUCCCAUCAUAUACUAGUAAUUCCCCACACUGGUUCUUUUUAAGCAAAGCUCGAUUCAGGUUAAAGCUGUAGCUGUGUUUGUUCUGUUCUGAUCACUGUCACUGCAGAUGAUGAUGCUGGACCCAGUGACGUGACUUACACUGAGCUUGAACUUAAGCCACAGAAAAAAAACAAAGAAAAGUCAAGUGAAGGCCAGUGUAGAGUAUGAAACUGUUUACUCACAGCUGAAGCAGAAUACAUAGGUGCUGGAGGAGUGAGUACAAAGCUGAAGAGAUGAGGCUGAGAGAGAGAGAGAGAGAGAGAGAGAGAGAGAGAGAGAGAGAGAGAGAGAGAGAGAGAGAGAGAGUUAAUCAUGUGUACACUGACAGUAAAAUCAGAGUGAGAUUGGCUUGUACAGUUUCUUUGCACUUAUUUGGCUUAAAAUGUGUGUGUUUGGGGGCGGGGGAGGUUGGGAGGGGGCUGAGGACAUGUGUAAAGACAGCACCAGUAUUAGCAGGGUGUAUUUUAUUGAUUACUUCUCCACUAUUAGGACUGGUUGUAAAGCAAAAGGAUUCAGUAGUAAUAGUAAGAGAAAUAAGUCAAUGUGACUGAACUUUUAUUCUUGAAAAUAUUUUUUCACUCAUGUGAGGGGCUUCAUUAUGUCAUUUGUGUGCAGUUCACACCUACAGAACUGAAAGCUGUUAAGAUCACAUACAGAGAUGCACUGAUGUAUUUUCCACCACACGGUACACCCACACUCUCCAGACUAUAGUUAAAAAGAUCAUGUAUCAUUUCAUCAUAACAUAUCACUUCAUGGUUUCAUUUUAUUAAGCAAUACUUUAAAUAAAUGCAUGCAGAUAUCACAAACCACAACAAGAUGAAUAUCAUAACAUUUCCUGUAGAUGGAACAUGUAUGCAUUUAACUGCCAAAUUCUACAUUGCAAAGCAAAAGAAAAACUAUCUAAACAUUAAAUUGUUCCUUUUUUAAGCGAGCUUGUAGUGCAGAAAUGUGAGCUUGCUGAUGUUUUCUACUUAAUCAACACAGAUUGUGAAAAGUACAGAGAUGGUUAGAUUGAAGGUAUCCAAAAUUACUUCCACAUAAGAAACAAAUGCCAAACAUGUAUGUCUUUGGUUGCUGAAUAGUAAGAAGGCCUAAACUCCACCAAAUGCGCCAAAUGUGGCGGUAAUGUCACUCGUCUUCCAGAAACUAUCAAUGUAAAGCAAAUUUUAUUGCACUGUAACAAGCCCAUUCAAUAAUUAAUUCUUAUGCAUCAUUACUGUUGUACUAUACAAGAAUAAUAACUACAAGUAUUGCGGUAUAAAUAAUCAACUCUGUUUCUCAUUAAUAUUUUUAAGUCUAGCAAUACUGUACAUCUGCAGCAAACAGAUUACAAACAGAGGUCUAUUUGUUAAAAAUGUGGCCGAAGCUAAAUGGAGAGCAUGAAAAAUUUCAUCAGGAAAUAUUUUAUCAAUCCUGGAUCACACAGACUGGCAACAAAGUCUACUGUAAGAUUCAAGUACACAUUCAAAAACAAACAAAAUGCUUUCAUGUAUUUUCUGUAUAAAUGGGGCCAUUUUAUUACUUUUAUACUCAUCUUACAACAGUGCCAUCUUCUGGCUAGAAUUCAUGUCAUAAAAAUCUCUGUGUUUGUAAAUGUACAUUUUGAAAUUUAUGUUUUAAAUUUGUUGUAUUUUGUGGAUACUAUAGCCUAUGUGUAUCUGUUUUUUUUUUCUAUUAUUCAUUCAUUUUUAUAUUUUCCUUAAAAUCUAUGCAUUCUCAAAACUGUUCUUGGAUCUCUUCCUCAAAUAAACUUUGACAAGGACAAUUUGGGGCCUGUUACGAUUAAGUUAUUUGUGUAAAUGCACAUAUCUUUCUACUAAUUAUUCCUGCUGUGUUCUAACACUUCUUCAAUUUUCAACAGAAAUCAUGUCAUUUCCCAGCUUUGCUUUGUUUUAUUUCCCUGACUCAGACCAGGCAAAGGUCAGAUAAAUAACAGAUAUAAUAUUAAGAAAACACAUAAUAGUAGAAUACCAGGUCAGUUCCCGUGAACAACUUAACAGUGAAGAGAGCUACACAGACGUGU